rnacentral:rRNA from 1 species
UACCAGCACCCCGAGUGGUCGGGACGUUUAUUGGGCCUAAAGGCAUCCGUAGCCGGUUCUACAAGUCUUCCGUUAAAUCCAGCUGCUUAACAGAUGGGCUGCGGAAGAUACUAUGGAGCUAGGAGGCGGGAGAGGCAAGCGGUACUCGAUGGGUAGGGGUAAAAUCCGUUGAUCCAUUGAAGACCACCAGUGGCGAAGGCGGCUUGCCAGAACGCGCU